AGUAUUGUGGUGUAGUGGUUAGCACGCUAGGUUUGCACUACUGUGAUUGAGGGUUCAAGUCCCAUCUCCACUG